GAUGAACGCUGGCGGCGUGCCUAAUACAUGCAAGUCGAGCGAACAGACGAGGAGCUUGCUCCUCUGACGUUAGCGGCGGACGGGUGAGUAACACGUGGAUAACCUACCUAUAAGACUGGGAUAACUUCGGGAAACAGGAGCUAAUACCGGAUAAUAUAUUGAACCGCAUGCUUCAAUAGUGAAAGACGGCUUUGCUGUCACUUAUAGAUGGAUCCGCGCCGCAUUAGCUAGUUGGUAAGGUAACGGCUUACCAAGGCAACGAUGCGUAGCCGACCUGAGAGGGUGAUCGGCCACACUGGAACUGAGACACGGUCCAGACUCCUACGGGAGGCAGCAGUAGGGAAUCUUCCGCAAUGGGCGAAAGCCUGACGGAGCAACGCCGCGUGAGUGAUGAAGGUCUUCGGAUCGUAAAGCUCUGUUAUUAGGGAAGAACAAAUGUGUAAGUAACUAUGCACGUCUUGACGGUACCUAAUCAGAAAGCCACGGCUAACUACGUG
rnacentral:rRNA from 1 species